GGCGGCGUGCUUAACACAUGCAAGUCGAACGAUGAACCACUUCGGUGGGGAUUAGUGGCGAACGGGUGAGUAACACGUGGGCAAUCUGCCCUUCACUCUGGGACAAGCCCUGGAAACGGGGUCUAAUACCGGAUAUGAGCCUGGGAGGCAUCUCCCGGGUUGUAAAGCUCCGGCGGUGAAGGAUGAGCCCGCGGCCUAUCAGCUUGUUGGUGAGGUAAUGGCUCACCAAGGCGACGACGGGUAGCCGGCCUGAGAGGGCGACCGGCCACACUGGGACUGAGACACGGCCCAGACUCCUACGGGAGGCAGCAGUGGGGAAUAUUGCACAAUGGGCGAAAGCCUGAUGCAGCGACGCCGCGUGAGGGAUGACGGCCUUCGGGUUGUAAACCUCUUUCAGCAGGGAAGAAGCGAAAGUGACGGUACCUGCAGAAGAAGCGCCGGCUAACUACGUGCCAGCAGCCGCGGUAAUACGUAGGGCGCAAGCGUUGUCCGGAAUUAUUGGGCGUAAAGAGCUCGUAGGCGGCUUGUCACGUCGAUUGUGAAAGCCCGAGGCUUAACCUCGGGUCUGCAGUCGAUACGGGCUAGCUAGAGUGUGGUAGGGGAGAUCGGAAUUCCUGGUGUAGCGGUGAAAUGCGCAGAUAUCAGGAGGAACACCGGUGGCGAAGGCGGAUCUCUGGGCCAUUACUGACGCUGAGGAGCGAAAGCGUGGGGAGCGAACAGGAUUAGAUACCCUGGUAGUCCACGCCGUAAACGGUGGGAACUAGGUGUUGGCGACAUUCCACGUCGUCGGUGCCGCAGCUAACGCAUUAAGUUCCCCGCCUGGGGAG
rnacentral:rRNA from 1 species